UACGGGGGGGGGCAAGCGUUUGUUCGGAAUUACUGGGCGUAAAGGGCUCGUAGGUGGCCAACUAAGUCAGACGUGAAAUCCCUCGGCUUAACCGGGGGAACUGCGUCUGAUACUGGAUGGCUUGAGUUUGGGAGAGGGAUGCGGAAUUCCAGGUGUAGCGGUGAAAUGCGUAGAUAUCUGGAGGAACACCGGUGGCGAAGGCGGCAUCCUGGACCAACACUGACACUGAGGAGCGAAAGCCAGGGGAGCAAACGGG
rnacentral:rRNA from 1 species